GACGAACGCUGGCGGCGUGCUUAACACAUGCAAGUCGAACGGUGAACCUCUUCGGAGGGGCUCAGUGGCGAACGGGUGAGUAACACGUUGGCAACCUGCCCCCGUCUCUGGGAUAACUCCAAGAAAUUGGGGCUAAUACCGUAUGUUCACCGCUUCCCUCAUUGCUGGUGGUUAAAAGGUUUUCCGGCUGGGGAUGGGCCCGAGGCCUAUCAGCUUGUUGGUGGGGUAGUGGCCUACCAAGGCGACGACGGGUAGCCGGCCUGAGAGGGUGACCGGGCACAAUGGGACUGAGAGAGGGCGCAGACUGCAACGGGAGGCAGCAGUGGGGAAUAUUGCGCAAUGGGCGGAAGCCUGACGAAGCGACGCCGCGUGGGGGAUGACGGCCUUCGGGUUGUAAACAUCUGUCAGCAGGGACGAAGAGAAAGUGACGGUAAAUGAAGAAGAAGCACCGGCCAACUACGUG
rnacentral:rRNA from 1 species